rnacentral:rRNA from 1 species
AUGAACGCUAGCGGAAUGCUUUACACAUGCAAGUCGAACGGCAGCACGGGAGCAAUCCUGGUGGCGAGUGGCGAACGGGUGAGUAAUAUAUCGGAACGUGCCCAGUCGUGGGGGAUAACGUAGCGAAAGCUACGCUAAUACCGCAUACGAUCUAUGGAUGAAGGCGGGGGAUCGCAAGACCUCGCGCGAUUGGAGCGGCCGAUAUCAGAUUAGGUAGUUGGUGAGGUAAAGGCUCACCAAGCCGACGAUCUGUAGCUGGUCUGAGAGGACGACCAGCCACACUGGGACUGAGACACGGCCCAGACUCCUACGGGAGGCAGCAGUGGGGAAUUUUGGACAAUGGGCGCAAGCCUGAUCCAGCAAUGCCGCGUGCAGGAUGAAGGCCUUCGGGUUGUAAACUGCUUUUGUACGGAACGAAACGGUGAGCUCUAAUACAGUUUGCUAAUGACGGUACCGUAAGAAUAAGCACCGGCUAACUACGUG